GUGAACCUCAUAGUUGCGUAGCAAUAUGCGCAGCCCACAUCGUUAUGUUAUGGUUGUGGUGGAGCAUUUACAUCAGCUCCACAGUGAAUGAGAUGCUCAGCGCACUCGUAAUGUCCCGUCCGAACUGCGACAUGGAGGGGAGUGCUACAUAGCUGCAGAUACACAAUAAGAACACUAGUUAGUGCACUUACAGGAUGCUCCACUAUCCAGGAGUUUCUUCAUGAUGUCUAUGUGACCCUGUGCACUGGCCUUAUGCAGAGCUGAGCGCUUAAACUGAGAAAACAGAGAAAGUCCUUCAGAAACGUGAUCUGGUCAACUGUCUCCGGCUGAAAAAUGCAGGGAUAUAAUCAACAUAUAAACUGAGGCUCUGAAAUCAAUUUAUUGCAUUAUAUACUUAGCUCCCUUACCAGGAUUUCUGGUUCUGGCUGUUUCUUUUGCACU